rnacentral:rRNA from 1 species
UACGUAGGGGGCGCGCGUUGUCCGGAUUUACUGGGCGUAAAGCGCUUGUAGUCGGUCCACCAAGUUUGGGGUGACAGUUGCCGACUUAAUCGGCAAAGUGCCUCAAAGACUGGCGGACUUGAGGGCCACAGAGGGACAUGGAACUCCAGGUGUAGUGGUGAAAUGCGUAGAUAUCUGGAAGAACACCAAAGGCGAAGGCAGUGUCCUGGGUGGUCGCUGACGCUGAGAGGCGAAAGCCAGGGGAGCGAACGGG